CUGUAUGCACGCUAUCCGAAGUGUUACUGGGGGGAGUCUUUGGUUGGAAGAAGUUUAGACACAAAAUAAGGAUUCAUUGGUUUAUUUCUAUGGAGCAAGAGAAAAGUAUCUUCAACUUGUCUCCACCAAAGCUAAGUGUCAGUUAGUUACUGAUCCCUCUAUGUGCUCAGAGAUGGAAAUGGCAGAAAACUGGACUUGUCUGGCCCUGCACAGAGAUUAGGCAAACGUUUUCUCAUUCAAUUUCUGGUCUUUCUGAUACCCAGAGAAUCAUAAAAUUGAGAAGGUCAGAGGGGGUCUUUAACUCCCAGAUGAAAGGAGACAAAGAAGAAGGAACAUUUCUCCUUCCUAUCUGUGCAAUGACUCUGCACCCAGAACUCUCCCAAAUUGAUGUUUGCAUGUGUAAGGGGAGAAGCCUCUUUUACUGAAACUCGAGAAGACGUUGCUAUAAAAAAUAAUUAUCAUUUCCAUUCUGAAGCUCACUCUGUGGCCUAGUACACCUGACACAUCAGAGCACGUCAACAAGAGACUGCACACCCCAGCAAGCAUUCAUUUUAUUUCAAGCACGGGCCCUACAAGAGAAGAAGGUAUUGCUUGCUUCUGAUUUAGUUUGAUAAAAACCCAU